rfam:Gossypium raimondii Chr10_contig_1442, whole genome shotgun sequence.
GAGCAAAUAUUUCAACGAUUUGUACUGUUAAAAACUGGCGUGACUGAUAGAAUAACUAGAUAGAGGCACAACACUAUGCCAUAUGUACCUUAUGCUAAUGUAUAGAGACUAGUUUUUAACAAUACAAAUGGAUAAAAUUUUUAGCUA